UACGUAGGGUGCGAGCGUUAAUCGGAAUUACUGGGCGUAAAGCGUGCGCAGGCGGUUUUGUAAGACAGAGGUGAAAUCCCCGGGCUCAACCUGGGAACUGCAUCCGAAACUGCCUUGCUCGAGUAUGGGAGAGGGAAGUGGAAUUUCCGGUGUAGCGGUGAAAUGCGUAGAUAUCAAGCGGAACACCGGUGGCGAAGGCGGCCUUCUGGACAGUGACUGACGCUGAGACGCGAAAGCGUGGGGAGCAAACAGG
rnacentral:rRNA from 1 species